rnacentral:rRNA from 1 species
CGCGUAGGCGGCUUUGCAAGUUAGAGGUGAAAGCCCGAAGCUCAACUUCGGAAUUGCCUUUAAAACUGCAUCGCUAGAAUUGUGGAGAGGUGAGUGGAAUUCCGAGUGUAGAGGUGAAAUUCGUAGAUAUUCGGAAGAACACCAGUGGCGAAGGCGACUCACUGGACACAUAUUGACGCUGAGGUGCGAAAGCGUGGGGAGCAAACA